AAUGUAUAAUGAUACAUGUCAUUUUCUUGUGCGAUGAUGUGACACUUAGGUGGAUAGUCAACUUUCAUAUAUAUGAUUUGUUU
rnacentral:sRNA from 1 species